rnacentral:rRNA from 1 species
CCUACGGGAGGCAGCAGUGAGGAAUAUUGGGCAAUGGGCGAAAGCCUGACCCAGCAACGCCGCGUGGAGGAAGAAGGCCUUCGGGUCGUAAACUCCUUUUACGGGGGAAGAGGAAGGACGGUACCCCGAGAAUAAGUCACGGCUAACUACGUGCCAGCAGCCGCGGUAAUACGUAGGUGACAAGCGUUAUCCGGAAUUACUGGGCGUAAAGCGCACGCAGGCGGCGCCUUAAGUCUGACGUGAAAUCUCCCGGCUUAACCGGGAGGGGUCGUUGGAGACUGAGGAGCUUGAGGCGAUGAGAGGGGUGUAGAAUUCCCGGUGUAGUGGUGGAAUGCGUAGAUAUCGGGAGGAAUACCAGUGGCGAAAGCGACACCCUGGCGUUAGCCUGACGCUCAUGUGCGAAAGCGUGGGGAGCAAACGGGAUUAGAUACCCCUGUAGUC